CGGGGCGCCGGCCAGCAGGCGCGCCAUCUUGGGCCCUAGCAUGGGGUGCAGGUGGUCGGAGGUUCAAAUCCUCUCGCCCCGACCA
rnacentral:tRNA from 1 species